rnacentral:tRNA from 1 species
UGUUCUGUAGUUGAGACACGACAACGUUAAAUUGCAAAUUUAAAGGGGCAUGUAUUUGUCGGGGCAU